rnacentral:lncRNA from 1 species
CUCAGGGACAAGCAUGAGCAGGGUGAUCCAGACAAUGGGGCCAGCAUGGUGUGUGCAUGGUGGACAGGAUGAAGCUCAGGUCCAAGGACUUCCCAGUGUCAGCCUGAGACUGGCUGGGGUGAGAGGAUUUGCCUGAACUCCACCCUCCGGGAUUCUGGGCUACCCGCUGCUCUUGUCUUCUGCAUCUGAGCUUCUGCACCGCUGUGGCCA